rnacentral:rRNA from 1 species
AACGAACGCUGGCGGCAUGCCUAACACAUGCAAGUCGAACGAGGUAUGUGUUUUCCGAUAUAUAUCUAGUGGCGCACGGGUGCGUAACGCUUGGGUAUCGGGCCUUUGGUUCGGAGUAACACAGAGAAAUUUGUGCUAAUACCGUAUGAUGACGAAAUUCCAAAGAUUUAUCGCCGAAGGAUGAGCCCGCGUAGGAUUAGCUAGUUGGUGGGGUAAAGGCCUAGCAAGGCGACGAUCCUUAGCUGGUCUGAGAGGAGGAUCAGCGACACCGGGACUGAGACACGGCCCAGACUCCUACGGGAGGCAGCAGUGGGGAAUAUUGGACAAUGGGCGCAAGCCUGAUCCAGCAAUGCCGCGUGAGUGAAGAAGGCCUUAGGGUUGUAAAGCUCUUUCGUCUGUGAAGAUAAUGACAGUAGCAGAAGAAGAAGCCCCGGCUAAACUCGUGCCAGCCGCCGCGGUAA